rnacentral:lncRNA from 1 species
GCCCCCGCGUGCGGUGUUUGUCGGUUUCCUAUGCUCCGCCCCCGCGCCCGCAGAACGCGCUGUGCCAGGCUCAAGCUCCGCCCCCCGUCUGGCGAACCCAGCCAAUCGGGUCCGCCUCUCUGACGCGCGCAGGCCGGCACCUGCGUCCUGCCCCGCCUCUUUCCCAGGAGCUGUCAGAGAGCCGUUGUCGGUUGAGGGAGGAAGGUGCGCGAGGUGGAGCAGGUAAGCGACCCCCCUCCUCAACGCGCCGGCGCGCUCUCUCCCCGUUUUUCGUCACUGGCCUCCCUAACGGUCACUCACUUGGCUCCCUAUUCCCUCACCGCGCGGGCCUUCUGGGGCUCAGCCGCCGCCUCCUUCUCCUCAGGCCGAGGUGCUCGAGCUCCCUCCCCCGAGCAGGGGGCGAAAGGGAAGGUGGAGGAGGUGGGCAGACAGCAGGUAGGCAGCCUAAAUAACCGCUGUUCAGCAGGCAGUGCAGAUUUUAAGGCUUCCCAAUGAUAAGGCCGCAUUGUUCUUGUCGUUGUUCUUGUAAAACUUAACUGGUUUUUAAAAUGUUAUUCCUCAAAUUAAGUAUUAUUUUGUUCUGCCUCUCAGAAUUUAAAAGCGUGCCUAUGAAUUCUUUAAUUCUCUUUAUAAAAAAUAAAAAAAUUGCCAUAUACAAAAGCCUUCGGUUUCAAAAUAUAGGUGCCCCUUAAAGCUGAAUGGUUUGUUAAUACUUCAUAGGAUUGCCAGAGUUGGGGGUCAUCUAGUCCAAUCCCUGCUUGCCCACGGUGCGGGCUUGAACCCAGGGCCCUGAGAUUAAGAGUCUCGUGCUCUACCUAGCUGAGACUACUUGCUAUAAGAUAUUUCUUCUGAGCUGCCUUUCAGGAUGUAAAAGCGCCCCUGAGGAGGUUUGCCACUGUGAAAUUGAACAUACAGUGGUACCUCUGGUUAAGUACUUAAUUCAUUCCGGAGGUCCGUUCUUAACCUGAAACUGUUCUUAACCUGAAGCACCACUUUAGCUAAUGGGGCCUCCUGCCGCCGCGCGAUUUCUGUUCUCAUCCUGAGGUAAAGUUCUUAACCCGAUGUACUAUUUCUGGGUUAGCGGAGUCUGUAACCUGAAGCGUAUGUAACCUGAAGUGCAUGUAACCCGAGGUACCACUGUAAACCCAUGUACAAACCAUUAAGUUUUAAAAUGGAGAGCUAGAAACACACACACACCCCUUGAACUGAACGAAGCAAGUUAAUCUGCCAGAGUUCCAUCAGGGGGAAAGGUGGGGUGUAAAUAAAUGUAUAAAAAUAAUCCAAAGUUCAGCAGUUAAUUUAAAAAACAACAACCCCAGAUGAAAAUGGAAAUUGUUUCUUGUAUUUUUUAAUUAUUUAUUGAUUGUGGGGGUGCCUGAGCAGUAUACAGUUGGCAUAAAUAAAAGUUUAGCAUCACAUUAAAAUAUAUCUUAUCUAUCUAUCUUUCAGUGAUGGGGAACUUGUUGGACUCCAGCUUCCAUCAUUCCUGAUCAUUGGCUACACUAUUUGGGGCUUAUGGGAGCUGAAGUCCAACAACAUCUGGAGGGCCAUGGGUUCCCCACCCCUGAUUUAUAGUGUUUUUCCUAAGUGUUUCAGGUCACUUUGCAUAUAUUGUCUUGACAGUUCUCACCGAAAAAGUGUGAGGUAGAAUGGUGUUGUUGUUAAACUCUACUGCAGACAGUAGCUUGAAGCUGAGGAGAGCAGCACCAGCCUAAUUCUGUAGCAUGUCCUACUUUCUUCAUCAGACUUCUGCCUUCUGUAUACAGGUUUAUCGCCCAAAGAACAUUACUUUUUUUUUAACUUGUUCAGAUAUGUGUCAAAAUGGAUCAUUAAUAAGACUUGAUCUAUUUAACAAGUACCUUUUCACUAGGGAAAUGUGUCAUGGUGAACAAUUAUUGCAUGUCCUAAUAACUGAUCUCAAAACAGUGUGCAGGCUUGUUUAUUUAUUUACAAUAGCUUCUAAAAGGUUUUUAAAAACCUCUAGCAAAUGUUAAUACUCAAAAAUUACAAGGUUGCUGCCUUAGAGAGCUUAUCAUUGUGGGGGGAAUGGACAGCUCAUUUUUGCAACUGCUAUGUAUCAGAUCUUUCUGUACUUCAAACAGAUAAAUCCCCAUUAUAUAAAUGAAUUUUUAAAAAUGCUUUCCACAUGUUCUCUCUGACAUUUGAUGGCUUGCUUAGAAAGUUACUUAUCCUAACAUCCCAUUCCCAUGCUUCAAUUAUUCAACCACUGGCUUCUUUAAAACUUUUAAACUCAUUACAACACGGUGAAGAAGUUAACAGAAGUUAAGAGUACAGAUACUGUAUUUACUUGAGUCUAAUGCACCAUCUAAUCUAAUGCACACCUCAGUUUUCAGAACCUUGAAACCAAAAUAGUAUUUGCUGGUGAAUGUAAAUGUGCUAUCGAAUCUAAUGCGCACCUUAAUUUUUGCAACCAAAAAAGGUGAGCGUUAGAUUUGAGUAAAUACUGUAUGGUAAUUCAAUAUGCAUCAUUUUCUCAGUUCAUCUCCUAGUGUAAAACUGAGGUGACAACGAUGGUGUGUGAUGCCAAAUGAGACUGGGAGUGGGAGCUUUUAAAAAAAGCAACUCAAAGUAACAACUUCACUAGAAAUUGAAACUAGAGGUGGCCUUCCUAGAGCAGCCUCAGGCCUAAUUUGUGCAGAUAGACUCUGGUGAAGAAGAGAAAAGGGGUGUGUGGGCAGGGAGGAGUGGGAGAGGGGAAAUGGGGUGGCAGAGAGAGAGAGAUAGCCCCACUCAAAGACAACCCCAAGGCAAUCCAUGUUUUGACUGGAAAAUAAUUCCCCAUAUGUAAUUUAAUAUGUAUGGUGAGAAUCUGCCCCAAGAAUGCAUGCAGCUGUUGUGACUGGCAGUGGAAGUUGUCUUUUAGUGGUUUUUGAUACAGCUCUGUGCAUGCAGGAUGCCCUAUUUUAUUUA